rnacentral:rRNA from 1 species
CUACGGGACGCUGCAGUGAGGAAUAUUGCACAAUGGGGGGAACCCUGAUGCAGCAACGCCGCGUGGAGGAUGACGCAUUUCGGUGUGUAAACUCCUUUUAUAUGUCAAGAAAAUGACGGUAGCAUAUGAAUAAGCACCGGCUAACUCCGUGCCAGCAGCCGCGGUAGGAUACGGAGGGUGCAAGCGUUACUCGGAAUCACUGGGCGUAAAGGACGCGUAGGCGGGUUGGAAAGUCAGGUGUGAAAUCCUGCAGCUUAACUGUAGAACUGCACUUGAAACUUCUAAUCUAGAGUAUGGGAGGGGGAGAUGGAAUUAGUGGUGUAGGGGUAAAAUCCGUAGAUAUCACUAGGAAUACCUAAAGCGAAGGCGAUCUCCUGGAACAUUACUGACGCUAAGGCGUGAAAGCGUGGGGAGCAAACAGGAUUAGAUACCCUGGUAGUC